UACGAAGGGGGCUAGCGUUGCUCGGAAUUACUGGGCGUAAAGGGAGCGUAGGCGGACAUUUAAGUCAGGGGUGAAAUCCCGGGGCUCAACCUCGGAAUUGCCUUUGAUACUGGGUGUCUUGAGUAUGAGAGAGGUAUGUGGAACUCCGAGUGUAGAGGUGAAAUUCGUAGAUAUUCGGAAGAACACCAGUGGCGAAGGCGACAUACUGGCUCAUUACUGACGCUGAGGCUCGAAAGCGUGGGAAGCAAACAGG
rnacentral:rRNA from 1 species